GGAUUAGAAACCCGGGUAGUCCACGCCGUAAACGUUGGGCGCUAGGUGUGGGGUCCCUUCCACGGGUUCCGUGCCGCAGCUAACGCAUUAAGCGCCCCGCCUGGGGAGUACGGCCGCAAGGCUAAAACUCAAAGGAAUUGACGGGGGCCCGCACAAGCGGCGGAGCAUGUGGAUUAAUUCGACGCAACGCGAAGAACCUUACCAAGGCUUGACAUGCAGGGAAAUCCUCCAGAGAUGGGGGGUCCGCAAGGGUCCUGCACAGGUGGUGCGUAGUUGUCGUCAGCUCGUGUCGUGAGAUGUUGGGUUAAGUCCCGCAACGAGCGCAACCCUCGUUCUAUGUUGCCAGCGCGUGAUGGCGGGGACUCAUGCGAGACCGCCGGUGACAAACCGGGGA
rnacentral:rRNA from 1 species